rnacentral:rRNA from 1 species
UACGUAGGGGGGCUAGCGUUGUCCGGAAUCAUUGGGCGUAAAGCGCGCGUAGGCGGCCAGAUAAGUCCGGUGUGAAAAGUCAAAAGGCUCAACCUUUGAAUGCCGCUGGAAACUGUCUGGCUAGAGUCCGGAAGGGGCGAGUGGAACUCCUGGUGUAGCGGUGAAAUGCGCAGAUAUCAGGAAGAACACCAAUGGCGAAGGCAGC